rnacentral:rRNA from 1 species
UACGUAGGGUGCAAGCGUUGUUCGGAAUUAUUGGGCGUAAAGCGCGUGUAGGUGGUUAAGUAAGUCGGGUGUGAAAGCCCUGGGCUCAACCGAGGAAGUGCAUUCGAAACUACUUAGCUAGAGGACGGUAGAGGAAGGUGGAAUUCCUAGUGUAGAGGUGAAAUUCGUAAAUAUUAGGAGGAAUACCGGCGGCGAAGGCGGCCUUCUGGGCCGGUCCUGACACUGAGACGCGAAAGCGUGGGGAGCAAACAGG